AAUAAAGAAGAAACUACAGCUAUUAAUAUCUGAAUUGCCCCUCUCGCUUCAAACCCAGCCCGCUUUGUGUGCCGCUGCCUGCCGGGCUGACCCGGGGCCGGGGGGGGGGCUCCGGGGGCUCCGCUUCCAGCACCGGCAACAACAAAGCUGAGCCAGGCCGGCGGCCCCGGCGCUGGGAAACCCAGGAUCCCCCCCCUCGUCCCCCCCCCAGCCACCCCUCCUGCGGCUCCGAGGGGUUCGGCUUUGUGCCCCCCAUCGGUGCGGGGCGGCCCGGGGGCGGGGGGCACCGGCAAUACGGUCCCCAAGACCCGGAGCACGGUCCCCCCCAACCGUGUUUCUCGCCCCCCGAGCACACGGGCGCCGCUGCUGCUGCUGUCCCCCCUCCCAGCACCCCCGGCCCCAGCCUCGCUCGGCCCUUUUAUAAAAAUAAAAAUGAAGGCGGCCAGGGCAGCCCCCGCCACCCCCGGCAGGUCCCCCCGCCGGGCCGGGGGCAUUAUCCGGCGGCACCUUCCUCGGCUGCCGGUGGAAAGUGGGCCUUUCAUUUUGUUAAUAAAUUUCCACGGUGACAGCGAGAGAAAAGGGAGAGAGAAAAAGGGCUCGGAGGCAGGGAGACGGCGAGGAGGGCGAACGCCUAAAACGUGCUUGAUUUAUAUUUGUUCUCGCCCGCGUUACGAGGUUAGUUACUCUUGCAGAAACACAAAGAAGAGGAGCCCGGCAAGUCCCGAGCCCCCUCACCCUUAACCUACAUAGCGGCGUCCAGCCCCGGAGCACGCACUGACAAACGGCAGGCUCACAUUUCUCCUCUAAUUUUAUAUCACAAAGGCUCGGCUCGCAGAGAAGCCGGGCACCCCUCACUUACUUCUGGGCUGCUCCUUUUCCCCCCAGCCUCCCCUUCUGGCCCCUGCCUCCGCCGGAGGGGCGAGGGCAGAGGAGGGAGAAGAGAAAAGUGAGCUAAGAAACCGGCGGGGAAGCGGGCACACGGCGCGGCCGGGCGCGCACCCACGCGCGGGGCUGUGCACGCGUGUAUUUGUGGUUUUAAAGGAGGAAAAUCCGGCUGGGAAUCCACAGUGGAGUGCUGUAGAGCCUCGGUAGGGCGCGGCGAGAGCAGCAGCCGAGGGUAGACCCCCUAAGGACGCGGGGAGAGCCGCCCGUCUCUGCAUACACCGCGACCGGCCGGGGGACGGAGAGAGGAGAGGAAAAAGAGAGAAAAAUAAAGCAAAAAAAAGCAAAACCUGAAAAAAAACAACCACCCAAAACCUUCUCAAAGAGAGGGAGAAACACCAGCUCCCAGCCACGCAUCCGUGUCCGCUCGCCUCCGGCCCCGCAAAAGGGCUCAGCGCCCCGCACCUCUCCCCGCUGCCCCCGGCUCUGUGCCGCAGAAAUAUCGGGGUCCCCCUCGCCGCAGGUGCUGAGGUGAUGGGGAAGGUGCCCAAAGCCCCCAAAAGUGCCUUUGCCCCCCUGCUCAGCCCCCACGGACGGGGAUGCUCGGAGGCUCGGUCUCAAAAGACGAGGCUGCGGCAUCCCCGUCGAGGCUGCCGGGGCGAAAUUCGCUCUCCCCGAAGCGGGGACCAGUUGGGGCCGGGGAAGGCUUUGAGGAUGGGGAGAGGAAGCUUUCCCCGGUAAAAGGAGAGCAACAGCCUUCUGGUUCCCAAACAACCCGGCCACCCGGCCCCGAGGAGGUCACCUUUCGGGGACAGAGGGGGAGAAGGUGGGGGUGCAAAAUGUAGGAUAGUCACAGAUUGUUGCUGAUGUUGAAUUUCCUGAGGAAAAAAAAAAAAAAAAAAAAGGCUUUCCUGUCUCGAAUCUGACAAAGUAAACAGGAUUAAUUCACCAUAUGCAGAAAAAAAGCAUUAAUACAGUCCUGACAAAUGCAGAAAUCAGAAGAAAGCGGUUUUAGCAGGACCUACGAUAGGAACAGUUUGAACGUAUGAUCGUAAAAAUGAAAAGCCAUUGAUACACGCUUAAAAGCUGCCGUAUACGCUGAUUGCUCAAGCAUUAAUGAAGAAUGCCCCAGAUUAACUAUUUGCUCUUGCAGGGAUGUAGCCAUAUAACUAUCUAUUAGCACCAUUAGAUGCCUUGCUAUUUAUUUGAAAACACCCCUGCGAGGGGGUAGAGGCAGAAGAGGCGAAGGUAGAAAUGGUCUGCAGCUAAUUCUGCUAAAUAAUAUCUGCAAGCCGAGCGCCUCGUGAAGAAGGGGGAGAUUCCCAACUGUCCUUCUCCGAGCCCAGUCACAAUAGAACCGCUCUCUUUGAAAAGUCAGACUGUAUUGGUUUCCCCAAAUAAAUAAACGCAUCCCUCCUGCCAUUU